rnacentral:rRNA from 1 species
GACAGAGGGUGCAAACGUUUGUUCGGAAUUAUUGGGCGUAAAGCGCGUGUAGGCGGCUUGGCAAGUCGGAUGUGAAAGCCCUCGGCUUAACCGAGGAAGUGCGUUCGAAACUGCCUGGCUUGAGUACCGGAGAGGGUGGCGGAAUUCCCGGUGUAGAGGUGAAAUUCGUAGAUAUCGAGAGGAACACCUGAGGUGAAGACGGGUUGCUGGGCCGACACUGACGCUGACAGCGCGAAAGCCAGGGGAGCAAACGGG